GAGGGCGGAGGGAGAUUCUCCCUCUUCCCCCCGACAGUUUUGGCAUAGUCGGCAGGAUCCACACUGGCUGGCAAGUUGCCUUCUCUGGCUGGAAGACCUGCCUUCUCCCUGGACUACUGCAGAUGAUGAGAUACGGGAACGCCUGACAAAAGCCGGCAAAAAGGACACAAUUGGAAACACUGGUUAUAUUACCAAGGUUGUGACUGGAACAUCAUAUUUGCGAUAUAACCAUACAGCUUUUGAGGAAUGAAGAAUGGACUUUAUGGAAUAAAGCCACGUGGAAAUAUUGGCCUGGUACCUUAUGUUCCAAGCAGCACUUACCAGGAUAAGUAAAGAAUGUCACUUAUCUGGCAGCUGUACAAACUGAAG